GAUCAUGGCUCAGAUUGAACGCUGGCGGCAGGCCUAACACAUGCAAGUCGAACGGUAACAGGAAGCAGCUUGCUGUUUCGCUGACGAGUGGCGGACGGGUGAGUAAUGUCUGGGAAACUGCCUGAUGGAGGGGGAUAACUACUGGAAACGGUAGCUAAUACCGCAUAACGUCGCAAGACCAAAGAGGGGGACCUUCGGGCCUCUUGCCAUCGGAUGUGCCCAGAUGGGAUUAGCUAGUAGGUGGGGUAACGGCUCACCUAGGCGACGAUCCCUAGCUGGUCUGAGAGGAUGACCAGCCACACUGGAACUGAGACACGGUCCAGACUCCUACGGGAGGCAGCAGUGGGGAAUAUUGCACAAUGGGCGCAAGCCUGAUGCAGCCAUGCCGCGUGUAUGAAGAAGGCCUUCGGGUUGUAAAGUACUUUCAGCGGGGAGGAAGGGAGUAAAGUUAAUACCUUUGCUCAUUGACGUUACCCGCAGAAGAAGCACCGGCUAACUCCGUGCCAGCAGCCGCGGUAAUACGGAGGGUGCAAGCGUUAAUCGGAAUUACUGGGCGUAAAGCGCACGCAGGCGGUUUGUUAAGUCAGAUGUGAAAUCCCCGGGCUCAACCUGGGAACUGCAUCUGAUACUGGCAAGCUUGAGUCUCGUAGAGGGGGGUAGAAUUCCAGGUGUAGCGGUGAAAUGCGUAGAGAUCUGGAGGAAUACCGGUGGCGAAGGCGGCCCCCUGGACGAAGACUGACGCUCAGGUGCGAAAGCGUGGGGAGCAAACAGGAUUAGAUACCCUGGUAGUCCACGCCGUAAACGAUGUCGACUUGGAGGUUGUGCCCUUGAGGCGUGGCUUCCGGAGCUAACGCGUUAAGUCGACCGCCUGGGGAGUACGGCCGCAAGGUUAAAACUCAAAUGAAUUGACGGGGGCCCGCACAAGCGGUGGAGCAUGUGGUUUAAUUCGAUGCAACGCGAAGAACCUUACCUGGUCUUGACAUCCACGGAAGUUUUCAGAGAUGGAUUUGUGCCUUCGGGAACUGUGAGACAGGUGCUGCAUGGCUGUCGUCAGCUCGUGUUGUGAAAUGUUGGGUUAAGUCCCGCAACGAGCGCAACCCUUAUCCUUUGUUGCCAGCGGUCCGGCCGGGAACUCAAAGGAGACUGCCAGUGAUAAACUGGAGGAAGGUG
rnacentral:rRNA from 1 species